GACGAACGCUGGCGGCGUGCUUAACACAUGCAAGUCGAGCGAUGAAAGCCUUAUGAACUAUUCGUAGUGAUUGAGGCCGGAUUAGCGGCGGACGGGUGAGUAACGCGUGAGCAACCUGCCUUAAACAACGGGAUAGCCUCGGGAAACCGGGAUUAAUACCGUAUGAGACACCGCCUUCACAUGAAGAAGAGGUUAAAGAUUUGAUCGGUUUAAGAUGGGCUCGCGUCUGAUUAGCUAGUUGGUGAGAUAAAAGCCCACCAAGGCAACGAUCAGUAGCCGGCUUGCGAGGGGGAACGGUCACAUUGGAACUGAGACACGGACCAAACUCCUACGGGAGGCAGAAGUGGGGAAUAUUGCACAAUGGGGGAAACCCUGAUGCAGCGACGCCGCGUGAGCGAUGAAGGAAUUCGUUUCGUAAAGCUCUGUCCAAGGGGAAGAUAAUGACAGUACCCUUGGAGGAAGCCCGGGCUAAAUACGUGCCAGCCGCCGCCGUAAUAC
rnacentral:rRNA from 1 species